UUGGGCGCUAGAUGUGGGGCUCAUUCCACGAGUUCCGUGUCGCAGCUAACGCAUUAAGCGCCCCGCCUGGGGAGUACGGCCGCAAGGCUAAACUCAAAGGAAUUGACGGGGGCCCGCACAAGCGGCGGAGCAUGUUGCUUAAUUCGAUGCAACGCGAAGAACCUUACCUAGGCUUGACAUGCACGGAAAUCUCCCAGAGAUGGGAGGUCCUUUAAAGGGUCGUGCACAGGUGGUGCAUGGCUGUCGUCAG
rnacentral:rRNA from 1 species